rfam:Schistosoma margrebowiei strain Zambia genome assembly, scaffold: SMRZ_scaffold0000621
AUCUAUCUGACGAGUUCUAAAUAGAACGAAACACACGUCAAACUGGAU